ACACAAGGAAGGAGGUGGUCCGCGAAUUGAUAGCUUCAUGGACAUGUGAGGUGGCUACGCGCUAGCUGCACUGGCUCGGAAGAGUCGGCGUUCAACGCGCGCUGGCGAAUUCCCCGUAGCCACCCGGCCCCCGAGCUUCCGGUCAGUCCAACCAGGAGCUUUUGCUCGGGGGCCGCUCCAU
rnacentral:sRNA from 1 species